UACGUAGGGUGCAAGCCGUUGUCCGGAAUUACUGGGCGUAAAGAGCGUGUAGGCGGCCAGGCAGGUCUGUUGUGAAAACUGGAGGCUCAACUUCCAGACGUCGACAGAAACCGCUUGGCUAGAGUCCGGAAGAGGAGAGUGGAAUUCCUGGUGUAGCGGUGAAAUGCGCAGAUAUCAGGAGGAACACCGGUGGCGAAGGCGGGUCUCUGGGCAACAACUGACGCUGAGGAGCGAAAGCGUGGGGAGCGAACAGG
rnacentral:rRNA from 1 species